rnacentral:rRNA from 1 species
AUUGAACGCUGGCGGCAUGCUUUACACAUGCAAGUCGAGCGAGCGGCGGACGGGUGAGUAAUGUAUGGGAACGUGCCCGGUAGAGGGGGAUAACUACUGGAAACGGGGCUAAUACCGCAUACUAUCGGAUCAGCCCAUAUGGGAUUAGCUAGUGGGUGGGGUAAAGGCUCACCUAGGCAACGAUCCGUAGCUGGUCUGAGAGGACGACCAGCCACACUGGGACUGAGACACGGCCCAGACUCCUACGGGAGGCAGCAGUGGGGAAUUUUGGACAAUGGGGGAAAGCCUGAUCCAGCCAUCCCGCGUGUAUGAUGAAGGCCUUCGGGUUGUAAAGUACUUUUAGCAGGGAAGCGGUAUCUGCAGAAUAAGCACCGGCUAACUACGUGCCAGCAGCCGCGGUAAUUC